GGACAAUGGGCGCAAGCCUGAUCCAGCAAUGCCGCGUGGGUGAAGAAGGCCUUCGGGUUGUAAAGCCCUUUUGUACGGGAAGAAAUCAUCCGGGUUAAUACCCUGGGUGGAUGACGGUACCGUAAGAAUAAGCACCGGCUAACUACGUGCCAGCAGCCGCGGUAAUACGUAGGGUGCGAGCGUUAAUCGGAAUUACUGGGCGUAAAGCGUGCGCAGGCGGUCUUGCAAGACAGUGGUGAAAUCCCCGGGCUCAACCUGGGAACUGCCAUUGUGACUGCAAGGCUGGAGUACGGCAGAGGGGGAUGGAAUUCCGCGUGUAGCAGUGAAAUGCGUAGAUAUGCGGAGGAACACCGAUGGCGAAGGCAGUCCCCUGGGCCUGUACUGACGCUCAUGCACGAAAGCGUGGGGAGCAAACAG
rnacentral:rRNA from 1 species